rnacentral:lncRNA from 1 species
UGUGUUUGAUAUUUUCUCCAUCCCUUCUCACUUUGCCCAACCUCCUUCCCUUCUUCUACCACGUCCACUUGUCCUUGUUGCUAUUGUUUGACUUUUAUUAUCUACUUCAACAAGAGAACAAUUCUUGUGCUUGAGCUUUAGGCCAUUUCAACAAAUCUUGUACUUUGACAAACUCCCAUAUGCUCGUUUAGCGUGAAUGAGAAAAUUUGAGAGAGGAACACAAGAAGUUGCUUUAAUGAAAGGAAAGAGAAAAAGGAACACGAGGAUUUGGAGGGAGAAGCUCAAGCGAGAGGGAUAUAGAAAUGUUAAUAGUACAAUAAAAGUUAAAUCAACUCAUUCAUGCAAAAUAAAAAGAAAAAUGGACUUCAUAGGCACAUGUUGAGGAUUUACGUGAAGGAAAAAUGAACCGAUUCUACAUUCUUUAUAGUAUAUAUUUUAGUUAUUACUCUUCUUAUUUUCAAGUAAACUCAUAUAUAUAGGAUACAAAAUCACAAGAAGCCAACAUAUGGUGCACAUUAUAACG